rnacentral:rRNA from 1 species
AUGCAAGUCGAGCGAGAAGGGGACUUCGGUUCCUGAGUAAAGCGGCGGACGGGUGAGUAACACGUGGGUAAUCUGCCCUCGGGUGGGGAAUAACUCAGGGAAACCUGGGCUAAUUCCGCAUGACACUUUCGAUACUUAAGUAUUGAGAAUCAAAGCUGGGGACCCUUCGGGGCCUGGCGCCUGAGGAGGAGCCCGCGGCCAAUUAGCUUGAUGGUGAGGUAACGGCUCACCAUGGCUACGAUUGGUAGCCGGCCUGAGAGGGCGUACGGUCACACUGGGACUGAGACACGGCCCAGACUCCUGCGGGAGGCAGCAGUGGGGAAUUUUUGUCAAUGGGGGAAACCCUGAACAAGCAACGCCGCGUGAAGGACGAAGACCUUCGGGUUGUAAACUUCUGUCGGAGGGGACGAAAGCUUUUGUGGUCAAUACCCAUGAUUGUUGACGGUACCCUAUGAGGAAGCCCCGGCUAACUCCGUGCCAGCAGCCGCGGUAACACGUAGGGGGCGAGCGUUGUCCGGAUUUAUUGGGCGUAAAGAGCUCGUAGGUGGCUUGGUAAGUCGGGUGUGAAAACUCCAGGCUCAACUUGAAGACGCCACUCGAUACUGCCAUGGCUAGAGUCCGGUAGAGGAGCGUGGAAUUCCCAGUGUAGCGGUGAAAUGCAUAGAUAUUGGGAGGAACACCAGCGGCGAAAGCGGCGCUCUGGGCCGGUACUGACACUGAGGAGCGAAAGCGUGGGGAUCAACAGGAUUAGAUACCCUGGUAGUCCACGCCGUAAAC